rnacentral:rRNA from 1 species
AACGAACGCUGGCGGCGUGUCUUAAGCAUGCAAGUCGUGCGGCAAGGGGUAGCAAUACCCCCUAGAGCGGCGGACUGGUGAGUAACGCGUGGGUGAUCUGCCCUUGGGAUGGGGAUAGCCACUAGAAAUAGUGGGUAAUACCGAAUACGUUCGCGAGGUUGUGACCUUGCGAGGAAAAGCGCUUCGGCGCUGCCCGAGGAUGAGCCCGCGUCCCAUUAGCUAGUUGGUGGGGUAGAAGCCUACCAAGGCGACGAUCAGUAGCCGAUCUGAGAGGAUGAACGGCCACACUGGAACUGAGACACGGUCCAGACUCCUACGGGAGGCAGCAGUGGGGAAUAUUGCACAAUGGAGGAACUCUGAUGCAGCAACGCCGCGUGGAGGACGAAGGUUUUCGGAUUGU